CAUUUUUUAAAUUCAAAAUUCUUCGUAAUUAUUUAAUAUAUUUAACUUAUUUUAAUAUUUGUUUUUGUAGGUCAUACUCAAAGGGAAUCUUUUGCCACUCUUCCAGUAUGAAUUCUUUUAGCUGAUUGCGGUUUUUGGGCUGUCUUUUCCCACUUUCUUCUUGAAGUAGGCCCACAAAUUUUCAAUGGGGCUAAGAUCGGGGCUCUGGGAUGGUGUAUCAAUAACUUUUCCACAGUUGUAAAGCACCCAAGCUCUCACAUUGGACUCUAUGUUUGGGAUCAUUGUCUUGAUGAAACUUGAAUUUGGCCAUAUUGUCCGUAAUGAGCCCAAAUUUCUCCGCACUGCUUUUUAAAUUUGUUUUUAAAAUUUGGAGGUACUGUUUGACAUCCAUUGUGUUCUCAAUAAAUGCAAUAUUUCCCACUCCUCG